rnacentral:rRNA from 1 species
UACGUAGGGUGCGAGCGUUAAUCGGAAUUACUGGGCGUAAAGCGUGCGCAGGCGGUUUUGUAAGCCAGUUGUGAAAUCCCCGGGCUCAACCUGGGAAUGGCAUUUGGGACUGCAAGGCUGGAGUGCGGCAGAGGAGACUGGAAUUCCUGGUGUAGCAGUGAAAUGCGUAGAUAUCAGGAGGAAUACCGAUGGCGAAGGCAGGUCUCUGGGCUGACACUGACGCUCAUGCACGAAAGCGUGGGGAGCAAACAGG